rfam:Faecalibacterium cf. prausnitzii KLE1255 F_prausnitziiKLE1255.K95-1.0_Cont63.1, whole genome shotgun sequence.
ACCGUGCACUCUGGAGAAGCCCGCUUGUAAAGUGGGUGCCGAAGGUGUAAGGCCGCAGGGAAAGCGGCUGUAUCUCUCAGGCAAAAGGACAGAGCCAUCGUC